rnacentral:rRNA from 1 species
GAGAGUUAAACAGUACGUGAAAUUGUUGAAAGGGAAACGAUUAAAGUCAGUCGUACCUACGAGUAAUCAACCUACACGAGCGCGAUUUUGUGGGUAUGAAGAGGUAAAACCUUCAUGGUUGCAAAUUGGUGUUCUUUGGGCGUACUUUCUCGUAUGGUAGGUUAACAUCAAUUUCGAUCGUUAUAAAAUGACGGGAGGAAUGUAGCUUCGACUUCGGUUGAAGUGUUAUAGCCUCUGGUAGAUGUAAUGAUUGGGAUUGAGGAUUGCAACGGAUACCCCCUGGGCUAUUCGUCUGAUCUCUGGAAGUUACCUUGGUGUCGAAAGCGUGCUUAUGACAUUAAGAAUGACGGCCAAAAGGUUAGAACGGAAUUAAAUUCGUUAAGGAUGUUGACGUAAUGGCUUUAAACGA